GAUGAACGCUGACAGAAUGCUUAACACAUGCAAGUCUACUUGAACUUCGGUUUGGGUGGCGGACGGGUGAGUAACGCGUAAAGAACUUGCCUCACAGUUAGGGACAACAUUUGGAAACGAAUGCUAAUACCUGAUAUUAUGAUUUUAGGGCAUCCUAAGAUUAUGAAAGCUAUAUGCACUGUGAGAGAGCUUUGCGUCCCAUUAGCUAGUUGGAGAGGUAACGGCUCACCAAGGCGAUGAUGGGUAGCCGGCCUGAGAGGGUGAACGGCCACAAGGGGACUGAGACACGGCCCUUACUCCUACGGGAGGCAGCAGUGGGGAAUAUUGGACAAUGGACCAAGAGUCUGAUCCAGCAAUUCUGUGUGCACGAUGACGUUUUUCGGAAUGUAAAGUGCUUUCAGUUGGAAGAAAAAAAGACGGUACC
rnacentral:rRNA from 1 species